AGGAAGGUGGGUAUGUUAAUAGCAUACUCAUUUGACGUUUAGCUGCAGAAGAAGCACCGGCUAACUCCGUGCCAGCAGCCGCGGUAAUACGGAGGGUGCGAGCGUUAAUCGGAAUUACUGGGCGUAAAGCGCAUGCAGGUGGUUUGUUAAGUCAGAUGUGAAAGCCCGGGGCUCAACCUCGGAAUUGCAUUUGAAACUGGCAAACUAGAGUACUGUAGAGGGGGUAGAAUUUCAGGUGUAGCGGUGAAAUGCGUAGAGAUCUGAAGGAAUACCGGUGGCGAAGGCGGCCCCCUGGACAGAUACUGACACUCAGAUGCGAAAGCGUGGGGAGCAAACAGGAUUAGAUACCCUGGUAG
rnacentral:rRNA from 1 species